rnacentral:lncRNA from 1 species
UUUCGCUAUCUCUGAGCAACAACACCUUAUUAAACAUGUCCAAGGAUCAUACUUCACCGCUGUCUAGUUGCCUUUGCUCACUUACUUGAAAAAUUGGGCAGAAUUCGGUUUCAAAAAUAGAUACUCAUCAUGUUUUCCAGACUUGGAAUUAAUUCGGCAAGGAGCUCGAAACCUGCUCAACUGCUGACUUUUGGCUCCAAUUUG